CCCUUAGAUGUUCUGGGCCGCACGCGCGCUACACUGAUGCAUUCAACGAGUGUACCUUGGCCGAGAGGCCUGGGCAAUCUUUUGAACGUGCAUCGUGAUAGGGAUAGAUUAUUGCAAUUAUUAAUCUUGAACGAGGAAUUCCUAGUAAACGCAGAUCAUCAAUCUGCAUUGAUUACGUCCCUGCCCUUUGUACACACCGCCCGUCGCACCCACCGAUUGGAUGGUCCGGUGAAGCCUCGGGAUUGUGGCGGUUGCCUUUAUUGGUGGCCGCCGCGAGAACUUGUCUAAACCUUAUCAUCUAGAGGAAGGUGAAGUCGUAACA
rnacentral:rRNA from 1 species